CCUACGGGGGGCUGCAGUGGGGAAUAUUGCACAAUGGGCGCAUGCCUGAUGCAGCCAUGCCGCGUGUGUGAAGAAGGCCUUCGGGUUGUAAAGCACUUUCAGCGGGGAGGAAGGCGGUGAGGUUAAUAACCUCAUCGAUUGACGUUACCUGCAGAAGAAGCACCGGCUAACUCCGUGCCAGCAGCCGCGGUAAUACGGAGGGUGCAAGCGUUAAUCGGAAUUACUGGGCGUAAAGCGCACGCAGGCGGUCUGUCAAGUCGGAUGUGAAAUCCCCGGGCUCAACCUGGGAACUGCAUUCGAAACUGGCAGGCUAGAGUCUUGUAGAGGGGGGUAGAAUUCCAGGUGUAGCGGUGAAAUGCGUAGAGAUCUGGAGGAAUACCGGUGGCGAAGGCGGCCCCCUGGACAAAGACUGACGCUCAGGUGCGAAAGCGUGGGGAGCAAACAGGAUUAGAUACCCGAGUAGUC
rnacentral:rRNA from 1 species